UACAGAGGGUGCAAGCGUUAAUCGGAAUUACUGGGCGUAAAGCGUGCGUAGUCGGUUAUUUAAGUCGGGUGUGAAAGCCCCGGGCUCAACCUGGGAAUUGCAUUCGAUACUGCGGUGCUUGAGGACUGGAGAGGAGACUGGAAUUUACGGUGUAGCAGUGAAAUGCGUAGAGAUCGUAAGGAAGACCAGUGGCGAAGGCGGGUCUCUGGACGGUUUCUGACGCUAAGACGCGAAAGCGUGGGGAGCAAACAGG
rnacentral:rRNA from 1 species